CGCGCAGUAUAUUCUUGUGAAUUUGCUUUCCCUUUGGCGGCAAAAUCACAGGAGUAUACUGUGAG
rnacentral:pre_miRNA from 1 species